rnacentral:rRNA from 1 species
GUUCACGGCCAUAUCACUUUGAAAACACCGGUUCUGGUCCGAUCACCGAAGUUAAGCAAAGUCGAGCCUAGUUAGUACUUAGAUAGGUGACCAGUGCUCUCAGCGUGAAAU